CCUAUUCUGCAUUUCUACUCGAAUCGAAAUUUUCUCCGAUUGGCAACUUUGGUAUUCUGCGUUUCGAUUCAACUUCGAAAAUUCCAAUUCUAUGUAUUCUGCAUUGCGAUCGUAAUUACGUUUUUUUACGUUGAAGUUUUGUCGACGGAAAGCCGUUAUAUAUUCAUUUUCGUGCACUUGGAUAAAAUAAUUUCCUCAAAUAUGUCAAAAGUAACAACGGCAGAGCAAUACGAAAAAUUGUGUGAUAUGAUGGCCACGAAAAGAGAUAUUGCGCAGGGCUUCCAAAAGCGACCGAAGGAAUAAGUACAGGAGUUUUGGGAGGAGGUUGCAAGGAAUUUAAAUGCACUUGGCCCACCAACAAAAGAUUCCAAUACAUGGAGGUCUGGAUUGACUAAAAAUGCUACAUGAAGCGAAAAUUAUCGCAUAACAAAAAAGAAAGGAUGAGCACCGGUGGAGGUCCUUGCCGUUUACAACGCAUAAGCCCACUUGAUGAAAAGGUGAUAGCUUUGACGGGUUUGGAAUCGGAUGAUAUCCCUUCAACCAGUAGAGCUAGCAGCCAAAAU